rnacentral:rRNA from 1 species
ACGGACGAGAAGCUUGCUUCUCUGAUGUUAGCGGCGGACGGGUGAGUAACACGUGGAUAACCUACCUAUAAGACUGGGAUAACUUCGGGAAACCGGAGCUAAUACCGGAUAAUAUUUUGAACCGCAUGGUUCAAAAGUGAAAGACGGUCUUGCUGUCACUUAUAGAUGGAUCCGCGCUGCAUUAGCUAGUUGGUAAGGUAACGGCUUACCAAGGCAACGAUGCAUAGCCGACCUGAGAGGGUGAUCGGCCACACUGGAACUGAGACACGGUCCAGACUCCUACGGGAGGCAGCAGUAGGGAAUCUUCCGCAAUGGGCGAAAGCCUGACGGAGCAACGCCGCGUGAGUGAUGAAGGUCUUCGGAUCGUAAAACUCUGUUAUUAGGGAAGAACAUAUGUGUAAGUAACUGUGCACAUCUUGACGGUACCUAAUCAGAAAGCCACGGCUAACUACGUGCCAGCAGCCGCGGUAAUACGUAGGUGGCAAGCGUUAUCCGGAAUUAUUGGGCGUAAAGCGCGCGUAGGCGGUUUUUUAAGUCUGAUGUGAAAGCCCACGGCUCAACCGUGGAGGGUCAUUGGAAACUGGAAAACUUGAGUGCAGAAGAGGAAAGUGGAAUUCCAUGUGUAGCGGUGAAAUGCGCAGAGAUAUGGAGGAACACCAGUGGCGAAGGC